rnacentral:lncRNA from 1 species
CUGAAAUUUUCUCAGGCUUUCCUUAAAACCAGGAGCAGGCAGCAUGCUGGGGAGAGGCACCACAGACUGGUGCUCAUUGCCAGCACUCAUCUCCCCUUUAAGGAGAAAUCUGUGCUGAGGGAGCUCGGGGAGCUCAGACAGCACCGCGAGCUUCAGUUCAGACACACGCCGGGAUCUCCUCUGUGGGAAAAUGGUUCCUCUUCCUUUCCAGCCUUCCAGCCUGGUCCGAAUCCUUAUCAGCUCAGCUUUUUUCAGAUCCUCCCAUGCAGACCUGGCUGUGGAGACAGAUGCCCUCCUGGAGAAGGCGUAUCCAGAGGCACAGGCCUAAUGUUUGAGGUAAAUCACUUCUCUCCUGUCUGUCCUGUCUAAAGGCCAUCAAAAUGCGUGUGAUGGAGGAAAAAGU